rnacentral:rRNA from 1 species
UACGUAGGGAGCAAGCGUUGUCCGGAAUCAUUGGGCGUAAAGCGCGCGUAGGCGGCCCUGUAAGUCCGUUGUGAAAGUCAAAGGCUCAACCUUUGAAAGCCGAUGGAUACUGCAGGGCUAGAGUCCGGAAGAGGCGAGUGGAAUUCCUGGUGUAGCGGUGGAAUGCGCAGAUAUCAGGAGGAACACCCGUGGCUAAGGCGGCUCUCUAGUACGGUACUGACGCUGAGACGCGAAAGCGUGGGGAGCGAACAGG